UUAGCUACGGCGGUACAUAUUCUAAAAUUGGAACGAUACAGAGAAGAUUAGCAUGGCCCCUGCGCAAGGAACGACGAUGAUAUAUAUAUAUAUAUAUAUAUAUAU